rnacentral:lncRNA from 1 species
UCAUGUGGUGGUGGUGGUUGCAGCCGAUUGGUGGUGGUGGUCAGAUCUCGCAGCUCUUUUGUUUCCUUGUUCCAGAUCUGUUCAGAUCUCCUCUCCCUUGCCUCUUGUUCCAGAUCCAGAUCUAGGCUAAGGUGGAGUGUUUCAAACCCAACCUUCUUUCAUGGUCCUGUAUACUCCUAUAUGUUGGGGUUAGGUUUGAUUAGACCCUGUUUGGGAGUUAGGUUGAUAGUACAUGGUAUUGCUAGGAUGAUAGAUGAAUGGAUCAUGAUGCAUAAGAACCCUCAUAUUGAUAAAUGGGACUUGAUGAACUGAAUUGAAUUGUUGUGGUAAUGGCUGAUUGGUAGUUGAUUCUUGUAUGUUUGGUUGUGUUGUCCCAUGUGUGGUUGUGAUUGAAGUUAGGAUGCUAGAGAGAAAUAAAUGCUAGGAUGAUAGAUGAGCAAUGAUUAUAAAAGUUAUUGAAGUAGAACUUGAAUGCAAUGUGUAUUGUGUGACACCGAUAACGGGUGGCGUCUAGUGAUUGAGUCCAAGUACAAGUAGGAAUGAAAAGGGAAGUAAUUGGGAAUGGGAAGGGUUAGGUGAAAACGAUAAGGAAGUGAAAGGAUAAGUAAAAGUAUGAAAGAAUGUUGUUAAGGUUAAGCAUGGGUGGGAAAGCAUAUAGAGAGUCUAAGGAAAGUAGGUGGGGUAAGUAGUCCACGCUAGGUAUCCAUAGGAGAUGUGGCGAAUCCACAUGAAUAUGGAAGCACCCAUAGGAGAUGUGGCCAAUCCACAUGAAUAUGGGGUAGAAGCCUAGUGGGGGGCUACCCACUGAGGAAAAGAGGAAAAGAUGAAAAGAUGAAAAGAUGAAAAGGAUAUGCAUUGUAGGGUUCUAGCUCAUGGUCGGGUACAGGAAGUUAAAGAAGUCAUAGGAUCGAGUCGGACUGGUAAGAUGAGUCGGUUAAGUCUAGGGAUGGCGUGUGUGGCAAUGAGUGAGAUCAUUGUAUUGAUUGAUUACUAGGUUGUUAGAAAUGAAUGGAAGUGUGUGUAGAAAUUACAGAUGGUGAUAGGAAAUGAUAAAAUGCAUUAACGGAUUGUAGUGGCUAGUCAGUCCUAGUUCCCGCAUAGAGUAGUAUAGAGUGUCGUGCGGGCAGGCUGGUCUAGAGCCACUUCACUGAGUAACUUGUUGCUCACCCCCUCCAUUUCCAUUUUUUCCCUGUGCGCAGGACUGUAAGUAGAAGUAUAUGGAUGUGGGUGUGACGGUAUUUCAAAGAAGGUUAUGCGCUCGUCUCUCGGGACCAGUAACGGGACACGUAGGGUUGUCUAAAUGAGUAGACACGUGUCCAUAACGCCCCUUCGAUAACCCCGGUCGGACGCCGGGGGAUCGGGCUGUUACAAUUGGUAUCAGAGCGGGUUAAGAUCCCUUAGUUCCGUCCUAAGGGAUCAGCAUUUCCGACGUUUAAAAAAAAAAAAAAAAUUGUUUUCAUUAAAAGAAAAGAGUUUGUGAAAGUUUUGAUUCUCCUAAAAGUUCUGAAAACGAUUUCAAAACCACCCACUAUAUUUAUACUUCUAGUAUGGUUCUGAUCGGAUGUCUACUUGAAGGAUGUCUUCGACAAUCAGUAACGACCAGAGUGACAAUUACGGGUAUCGUGGACCUGCAUGGUGGAACUCGAUCUACACUCGGACUCAGCGCACCAUAAAGGAAAAUGUGGUACCCUAUCGGUGACGCCCAUUGACGAAGUUUCAUCGCCAGACACAUGAGUUGGAGUGGUUGGAGAAAAACCAGAGAUGGAAACCCGACUAAUGUAACUACCGAGAACGUGAAGGUUGUGGCGGAUAUCAUGGGUUUAGAGGAACAUUAGAGGUGCAAUGAAACAAGAUGAAGUCAUAGGUCAAUG